rnacentral:misc_RNA from 1 species
GUUUUUUCAAUCAGAUCCCUGCAAACUAGCGACUGUUUUCAAUGAUUGGACUCAAGAGAUCGUGAUCCUUGCUUCUCAAGCUUUAAUUUGAUAACAGCCACACCUUAAUCAGACAUCGGACGGUGAUGAUGCUCAGUAGGUGGCCGAGACUAUAUCCAUCGAUUCAUGGUGAUCAGAGCAGAAUCUCGACAUAUGGACUCCGAGAUCAUGAUUAUUAGUGGCCUAUGGACAUUCAAAAAGUGCACUCGGAUUGAAGACGCACCACCAGCACUCAGGACUGGUUUUCUGACUAGAUUGCAAC